CCAGACAGCCAGGAUGUUGGCUUAGAAGCAGCCAUCAUUUAAAGAAAGCGUAAUAGCUCACUGGUCGAGUCGGCCUGCGCGGAAGAUGUAACGGGGCUAAACCAUGCACCGAAGCUGCGGCAGCGACGCUGAUGCGUUGUUGGGUAGGGGAGCGUUCUGUAAGCCUGCGAAGGUGGCCUGUGAGGGUUGCUGGAGGUAUCAGAAGUGCGAAUGCUGACAUAAGUAACGAUAAAGCGGGUGAAAAGCCCGCUCGCCGGAAGAC
rnacentral:rRNA from 5 species